rnacentral:rRNA from 1 species
UACAGAGGGUGCAAGCGUUGUUCGGAAUUAUUGGGCGUAAAGGGUGCGUAGGCGGUCGCGCAAGUCGGAUGUGAAAUCUCAGGGCUCAACCCUGAAACUGCAUUCGAUACUGCGUGGCUAGAGUGCUGGAGAGGAGACUGGAAUUUACGGUGUAGCAGUGAAAUGCGUAGAUAUCGUAAGGAAGACCAGUGGCGAAGGCGAGUCUCUGGACAGCAACUGACGCUGAGGAGCGAAAGCCAGGGGAGCAAACGGG